UCUCCUAUGGCGCAAUCGGUGGCGCGUCUGACUGUUAGUCAUGCUUAGUCAUGAAUGUCUCGAACAUAUCAUCAGAAGGCUGUUAGUUCGAUCCUAACUGGGAGAG